ACAGUGUUAGUUUUAGAUUAUUUUGUAUAAGUUUGGCUUGUUAAAAUACAUAUUGUUUGUAUUACAUGCUUUUGUAAUUUUAAUGGCCUCCUUGGUUGCUAUAUUUGUUAUGUGGUAGUCCACUGACUGUAUACAUGUCGUUAUUGGUCCCCCUGUGUUCUAAAAUUUUGAUUUGACAUUUGAGAUAUUUGAACCAUAUGUGCUUGGCUUUGAACAGUUAUGGAUUUACUUAUAAAAAUUGACACUUUUUGGGUUCAAAUGGUAGAUAGUUACUGUGUUCUUGUUCUCUUCUAUAACAUUUCAGUAUGCAUCUUCUUUUUGUUCUUUAUUGAUUUUUUCUUGUGGUUUAUGAGUAUUGUUUAACAGCAUUACUACUUCAGGAGCUUGCAGGGAUUAUUAAAUUGUCGGCAUAUUCUAGCUUCAGUCUGUUUGAGUGUCGGAAGGUUGUUGCUGGUUCUAAAUCACCUGAAAUUGGAAAUGAUUUUUUAUAUCAACAAACUCACUGGAAGCAUCCCUGACACACUAGGAUAUGUGCAGACUUUGGAGGCCAUAUGCUUCAAUUGGAAUUCAUUAAAUGGGCCUGUUCCUUCAAACCUCAACAACCUUACAAGUGUCAGGGAGCUGUAAGUACACACACAGAAAAUUUUCCAACUUCAUGUAGAAUUCAAGUUGUGUCAUUAAGAAAGUGUUUUGGUUAUGCCUUUUCAGGACCUUGUCGAACAA